rnacentral:rRNA from 1 species
UACGUAGGCAGCAAGCGUUGUUCGGAGUUACUGGGCGUAAAGGGUGUGUAGGCGGUUUUCUAAGUCUGGUGUGAAAUCUCCCGGCUCAACUGGGAGGGUGCGCCGAAAACUGGAAGGCUAGAGUGCGGGAUGGGAGAGUGGAAUUCCUGGUGUAGCGGUGAAAUGCGUAGAUAUUGGGAGGAACACCGGUGGCGAAGGCGGCUAUCUGGACCGGUACUGACGCUGAUACGCGAAAGCCAGGGGAGCAAACAGG